ensembl:lncRNA
GAGAGAGAGGGAGGUAGCAAGAUACAAGAGAGUGCGCGAGCGCGAGAGAAAGGGAGGUAGGGACAGAGAAGAGAGAAAGGGAGGUAGGUAGGGACAGAGAAGAGAGAAAGGGAGGUAUGGACAGAGAAGAGAGAAAGGGAGGUAGGUAGGUAGGGACAGAGAAGAGAAGAGAGAAAGGGAGGUAGGUAGGGACAGAGGAGAGAGGGAAGUAGGGACAGAGAAGAGAGAAAAGGAGGUAUGGACAGAGAAGAGAGAAAGGGAGGUAGGGACAGAGAAGAGAGAAAGGGAGGUAAGGACAGAGAAGAGAGAAAGGGAGGUAGGGACAGAGAAGAGAGAAAGGGAGGUAGGGACAGAGAAGAGAGAAAGGGAGGUAUGGACAGAGAAGAGAGAAAGGGAGGUAUGGACAGAGAAGAGAGAAAGGGAGGUAUGGACAGAGAAGAGAGAAAGGGAGGUAGGUAGGGACAGAGAAGAGAGAAAGGGAGAUAUGGACAGAGAAGAGAGAAAGGGAGGUAGGGACAGAGAAGAGAGAAAGCGAGGUAUGGACAGAGAAGAGAGAAAGGGAGGUAUGGACAGAGAAGAGAGAAAGGGAGGUACGGACAGAGAAGAGAGAAAGGGAAGUACGGACAGAGAAGAGAGAAAGGAGGAGGUAGGGACAUAGAAGAGAGAAAGGGAAGUACGGACAGAGAAGAGAGAAAGGGAGGUAGGGACAGAGAAGAGAGAAAGGGAG